UACGUAGGGUGCAGGCGUUAAUCGGAAUUACUGGGCGUAAAGCGUGCGCAGGCGGUUUCUUAAGUCAGAUGUGAAAUCCCCCGGCUUAACCUGGGAACUGCGUCUGAUACUGGAGGGCUUGAGUGCGGGAGAGGGAUGUGGAAUUCCAGGUGUAGCGGUGAAAUGCGUAGAUAUCUGGAGGAACACCGGUGGCGAAGGCGGCAUCCUGGACCGACACUGACGCUGAGGCGCGAAAGCUAGGGUAGCAAACGGG
rnacentral:rRNA from 1 species